AACGAACGCUGGCGGCAGGCUUAACACAUGCAAGUCGAGCGCCCCGCAAGGGGAGCGGCAGACGGGUGAGUAACGCGUGGGAAUCUACCCAUCUCUACGGAAUAACGCAUGGAAACGUGUGCUAAUACCGUAUACGUCCUUCGGGAGAAAGAUUUAUCGGAGAUGGAUGAGCCCGCGUUGGAUUAGCUAGUUGGUGGGGUAAAGGCCUACCAAGGCGACGAUCCAUAGCUGGUCUGGGAGGAUGAUCAGCCACACUGGGACUGAGACACGGCCCAGACUCCUACGGGAGGCAGCAGUGGUGAAUAUUGGACAAUGGGCGCAAGCAUGAUCCAGCCAUGCCGCGUGAGUGAUGAAGGCCCUAGGGUUGUAAAGCUCUUUCACCGGUGAAGAUAAUGACGGUAACCGGAGAAGAAGCCCCGGCUAACUUCGUGCCAGCCGCCGCCGUAAGAC
rnacentral:rRNA from 1 species